GACAAGAUGGCCUUACGGGGGCGAGGUUGAUGAUGAUCUUUACCCAACCAGCACUCACGCGCAGGCGCAGUUGCAAGCGGUACCAGCACAAAGAUGAUUAUCUCGUGCAUGAUCAAGCUCCUCCAAGACCAAGUGCCCCUCCACCUUUUCUAGUGACAGGUUUUGGGUACCGGGAGGGUAAUCCACACGUCAAUCCACAACUGCUAGUUGCAAGGGAGAAUGCUCCACUGCUACCAGACACUCCUGAAGUGAAUGCAAGAAUGGAAGUGUUCAGUCUAGAGAAGUUUGUGUUUUUAUGCCUAGGAAUUGGUCAUAAAUAUUGUGAGUGGACGCAGUUAAGUGCUGUGAAGUACAUGUAUGAGCAAAAAAACUUGGACACUCUGAACAUCAUGUCUGCUCUUUCUGUAUUAUUAACUGUACUUAUAACCAACCUGCUGCUAUAUGUAGUCAUUGUGUAGCCAGCUGAUGAAUGUGAUUUCCAUAAACGAUGAACUAUAUUGUUUGUUACUCACGUACAGCUGGACUGUGCCUUGUGGUGUUUUUGCUCAUAUAUGUCGGGGGAAUUGCCUUAAUUGUUGAAGCAGUACAGAUUUUUGCUGUCACUCCUCAGGGAUAUUAUGGUUGUAAUCCUCAACAAGCUGAUUUUUUAUGCAUUCUUUCUGGAGUCUUGUUUCUUUUGAUUGGAAGUUGCUGGCCAAUUGCUUACUGCUGGAAAAGAAGGCCAAGUUGCAACUUCACAAUGCUGGGCUGCUACUUGUGGCUUUUGUCUGUAUUGAUUGUGUCCUGUUUGGCAGCAUUGGGCGCAACAAUGGUAGCUGCUAACUGCUCUGAUCCUCUUUCAUUGAUUGUUGUUAUUACUAUGGGAGCUGUUGUUGUGACGUUUUUGUGCUCUAGUGUUUGUUGUUUGUGUUUUUUUAGCAGAAAAAUUGGUAGAAUUUGUUAGGUUUAGAUCUAAUACAGAGACUGACUGUGAUGAUGAAUCGAAGCUGAUAGUGUUCACUCUC